ACCAAGGGCCCCUCCUUCUCCUCAGUGCCUGACUGUGGCCAGGCUGAGCCACCCACUGCCCCCACCAAGUGCCCGCUGAGGGCCUGGUCUUGCCUCCAGCUGGGCAGGGGGCUGGGUGGCUGGGAGCAUUUGGGUUUUGCCUUGUUCUCCUCCAUCUCUGAGAUCCUGAAGCGCGAAUGGAUCCCGGGAGCUGCUUCCUUCUGCAAGAGUGGCUCUCACGGGACUGGGCACCUCAGGGUUCUGCGCCGCUUACACACCCUGAGUCGUGGUGGGGCUCUCUGAUGUCACAGGGGUCUCUUAGCACCGCUGAGUCACAACGGGCCACACCCAGUACCCCUGCAGGUAGCAGCUGAGCCCACUGGAAUCUUCAUGGCUGGUGCUUCCCGGGAGGCUCCCGAAGCUCAACAGUGUGGAAGAGUGGCUAGCUAACAAAGGUCAUGUUCCCAUGCAGCAAUUAGCUGAGAAAGAAUUAAACAACAGUGGAGUGUAGUUGGUAUGAGAUGUUGCAAUGUCAGAAAGACCUUAGUGAUAACUGUGAACUGAGAACAGGACACUGUGAUCAGAAGAAUGUGGAUUCAGCACAGAUGAAUGACCACAAGAAGGUGGAACUAGGGAGUUUGGAGUUGCCAAUAAAUGAGACUUACUGAUCAUUCA